CAGUAGCCGCGGUAAUACGAAGGGUGCAAGCGUUAAUCGGAAUUACUGGGCGUAAAGCGUGCGUAGGCGGUUUGUUAAGUCUGUUGUGAAAUCCCCGGGCUCAACCUGGGAAUGGCAAUGGAUACUGGCAAGCUAGAGUGUGUCAGGGGAUGGUGGAAUUCCCGGUGUAGCGGUGAAAUGCGUAGAGAUCGGGAGGAACAUCAGUGGCGAAGGCGGCCAUCUGGGACAACACUGACGCUGAGGCACGAAAGCGUGGGGAGCAAACAGGAUUAGAUACCCCCGUAGUCCCUGUCUCUUAUAC
rnacentral:rRNA from 1 species